AUUGUGGUUUAUUCUGUCUGGCUAUUGAAUUUAUAUAUAGAUUUUAUUCCAGUGAAUUAUGCCAGGAUUUUUGAAUUAAAUUAAUUUAAUUGCAAUGUAACAUGUUUCCUAUUUGACAUCAUUUACAUGGAUUUCCAAUAAAUUCAAGAGUUACUUGCAAAUAUAAUAACCAGAGAAAAUGGCAGAGUCUCUUUUAAAUGCUUUCAGAGAAUAAUUACAGAAUCAUAUGAUUUUUUUCUGCAUAUAAACAAGUAAAUGUUAGGAUACUACUCUACAUAAAUAAAACCUGCAUUUUUUAUUAUUGACCUAUGUUCUUACUUUUAGAUAACUGCUUCAUAUGUUCAUGUAGCAUUUUUUCCCCAUAAAUAUUUACAUAAAACUUGUCUACAUUUACAGUAAAUAACGUUAAUUGCCUACUGUGCUUUCAGAAGCCAAAAGCUGAAUUGGCUAUAGAAAUAUCUGAUGAAGAUUCUUGGAACAAAGGUAUGACUAAAUGACAUCAACUUGUAGUAUUCUAUUACAAAAUAAUGAGAGGAAUUUAAUGGCAUUUGUAAAUUUACAAAUGCAAUUUAGUGUUGGAUCUGAACUGCUCUAACAGUAGGAUAAGCCCUGCAAUUACAAUUAAACUACAAUUUAUGGAACAUACAUUCUGGAAAACUACAGCAUUUGCAGCAGUGCUGAUAAAAGUAUUUUGAUUUCAAACAGGUAGCAAGCCAAAUAAUCUUUCAUGUAGCAAACAAUCCUUAGGUAAUGCCAUCUCAGAAGUCUGCAUGCAUUGACUCCAGGUGUAUAUGGCACAGUUGUGCAGUCACUGGGCUGCUCUCACUGCUUACAGAGCUGAACUUUGCUGUAUAUUCAACUAUAUCCACUCAAAGAUAGCCAGGACAGUACUAAGCCUCUCUUUUCACGAGGUCAGACUGUUUUGAGGAUGUUUUGCAGUUCUGUGUCAGUGAUCAGAGACUCAAAUAGUUGUCCAGAAAACAAUUUUUGUUGCUAGAACACUAUGUAAGAGAACUUUGCUCAGAGAUAUUCCAGUAACACAUAUUUUUUCAUUUAUAAAACAAUGGAUAAAGUAAACAAAAGUGUCUGUAUUUACAAAUUCUUAUCCAUUAUGUUCUUAGUAUGCAAUGUUCCAUAUGUAAAGCAAUUUUAUGCUAAAGCCCAUAUAGUACCCAAUUUUAAGUGACUCUUACUGAGGCAUGAUUUUAUUAAUUAGCUAUUAGACAUAAUUAUCCAUAUAACUGACAAUUUUUGUUGUUCUUAUGGAAGUCAUAUCCAUUCACUAAUAGAAAGAAAAUACAUUUCACUGAAAAUACAAACCAAAAGUACCUAUCACUAAACCAAACUUCUAAACUCUUAGGGCCCAAUCCUGCAGCCUUGGCUCAUGCAAAGAAUUCUAUUUAAAUAAAGUAUUCUAAUUAGAAUUGAUGUUUUUGUUUGGGUCUUGGUUUUGUUUUUUGCUAAAAACCCCUUAUGAUACAAGUCCAGAUCUACACAUGGUACUUACUUUAGUGCAUUUAUAUUUGUCCAUGUUGGGUUUCUAACAGAACAAAAACAUGAUUUAGAAUUUAUUCAUUUCAGUUCUGUUGAUACAGAGUCUUGAUAAACAAUAAUCCAACUGCAACAUGGUUGGGUGGUAAUGACUUGCUCCUGCCUCUCUAUAUAGGGAGUAUAUAGGGAAUACUGAGAAGAAUAAGCAAUGUUAUCCAUCUCUUGUGGGACUCUCAGCAACUCCUCCCUUUACUGUAAGCUUUUCUACUUUAAAAAUCUUUUGAAACAGGUUGUCUGUGAGAUGGGGGAAAUGCAAAUUAAACUUAGCUAUUGUUACUUUACCUCUUUAUUCCAGCUGCUGCAGUGGGCUGUACCUGUCUUACCCUGACAGUGAAUGCUCUUCUGUGGGCCUGAAGGUGGGCUCUUAGCACACUUUCAUUUAGAAAGACCAAUCAGACCAAGGAGAAGCAGCUCACAACCCCUUCCUUAAGUUAAAGGGGUUGGGACUGUGAAGCAAAGGACCAUUCCUAAGUAUUCAUUGCCACAGAGAUGAGAUAGGCUCUGCUGGAAAUUAUGAAGGUGGCACAUACAGAAACUCAGGAGCCACCACACUGGCUCAUUUCAAAGACCUGUCUGCUGGUAGGAUGUUCUGAGGAGACUGGUUAUGUGACCUUUCUCAGUCUCAGAUACAAAGAGCAAAUUCCAGUAUCCUCAGACAUGUGAGAAAGCAGUUUCUUGUGCUCUUAGAUGUCUCUUUAAUAAUACAUUUAAACAUUGUGACAAUUCACAUCUUUUAUGUGUUUUUGAAUAUCAGUGCUUGCAAGCUACAGAAUUUCUUGCCUUGAAAGAAAGUGAAGACCUCCACAGAUGUCCUCCACACAGGAUGCAAUUACCUCAAAACAUCUGAACAACUGAAGUCCAGUGUCCUGAAUCUCAUGGGCACAUUGAAAAGGAAGAGACCUGCCCUUGAAAGUCCUUAGCACACCACCAAAGGAGCAUCUGUCAGGCUAAGUAUCUUUCUGCAUUCUUCUGUUUUGCAGCAGACUACUACACCAAAUUACUUGUGAGGGUGAAGUAGAAGGAGAGAACAUUCAAAGGUGAACUUCAGGAAUUCACAUUCGAGGAAACAGAAACAAAAACCUUCAUAAAGGAAAAA